AUAUUUAAACAGGAUUUGAAUCCAUCUAAGAUUGGCUUUAGUGGCAUGGGAUAGGGAAAUUGCUUCUGAAGUAUCUUCCAUGUUAUUCCUUCGUACAAAGGAUUCUGCCUUAAGCAGACCCAGUCUGGCUUUAAGGGGAGGGAAUGUCAGAUGGGCCUGGGCUGAGGGGUGGCACAGGGGCUUGAAUAGCUGCAUUGCCUUGACAGGCUGCAGCACUCCAUCCAUCCACAGCUGUGCUCCUUGCUGGGCUAGGCCGGGGUGGAAACCUUUAAUCUUUUGAUUAUGAUAAAUAACCCCAUAUUAAACCUGUACAUCAAUGGUUUAUAAAUCACCCGCACUGCUGGUGCAUGAGCAGAUUUCAGACCCAGCAGUGUGAUUGCAAGGCUUGUGUAGGAGAGCCUGGGCAGCUUUGCUGUACUUCUAAGGGGAGAAAUAGUCAGUAGCAUUUGCUACAAGCCUUGGUCUGAAUUUGGGGAAAAAAGGUACCAAGCUGCCCCUGUGCUGGCAGCAGGAGCCUGGGAUGAGCCUCCAGCAGCAGCCUGGGUGUGUGGUGCUGGGAUGUUCUCAAAGCCUUGCUCCCAGGACUCAUGAGUUACACUGCAAAUGGCUUCAUUCUGUCCUCUGCCAUGUCCCUGUGAGGCUGUGGCUGCCAGGUGGUGACACUGCCUCUCCAUCCCCAUCCCUCCGCAGAGCCUUUCCUCUCGCUGCUGCUGGUGCUGACAGAGAUGGAUUUCUCCCUGGACCUGCAGGUGCAGUGGUGAAUCAGUGGGGUGGUGACCAGCACAGGGCUGCCAGUGUGGGGCCCUGGCCCCUUCCUUGCAGGCACCAAUGGUGCUGGCACUCCUUUGUUUGCAGAAUUGCAGCUUCUUGGACGAGAGCUGGCUGCUGCUGUGUGGUGGCAAAGAGGUGCUGGAGGGAGCCAUCCCUGCCGUGCUGGAUGGCAGCGCGGGUGAGUGACAGGGCUGGGGACAUCCUGGGAAGAGAAUACAGGGAACCAGGGGCUCUGCCAUGGAUAUUUUUUCCUGCCAGCUCCAAGCUCACUUGGCUUGGCUGAAUAUUUGCCAUGCCAUCACCCCUGGGAGGGUUUUUCAGGUCAGAAGCAUCUCAGCAGCCAGGAUACGAAGGGGCAUUAAGGAAAAAAAUGCAACAGCAUGCAGGAAAGAACUUGGAAAACUCUGGGAAGGUUAAGCCUGAUUCCAAGGGUGCUUUAAGGCUCAGGUUGUUUGAGCCUCUGGGGGUUGUUUGUGAAAAGAUUGAAGUGAGGAAGCACUGGGUGGUGGGGGGAAAAGGAACACAGGAAAUUUUAAAAAGCUGAGGUUGACUGUGCUUCAUCACUUCUUCAUUUGGAUACUCUCUGGUGAAUGUCUGAUUAAAAACAGACCUCAGGGCUGUCCUGAUAGGGGCUUCUUCCCCCUCAUCCCCCCUGCAGGAGGUUUUAUUUGAUGUGAAGGAGGCAGAAGUCCUUGUGAAGGAGAAGGCUUCUUCCAUGGUGAGUGAGUGACAUCCAAGGCCUGGGAAUCUGGAGGCAUGGGGAGUCCAGCUGGAGGGUCCUGGGGACAUUAUCACCCAGGAAUGGGGUGACAGGGACUGACCACAGCCCAAACACCGGCCCCUUCCUGUCCCCUGCGCAGCUCCUGUGCCGCCAUCCCUACCCAUCCAUCUCCUGCGUGGGACACGGCGCGUGGAGCCCCGGGAUCUUUGCCUUCUGUGUGGUGUGAGCGCUGCCUGUGGGCCCUGGGAGGGGGCAGAGAGGGAUGUGGGUCUGGGAAAAUAAACAAGCGAGGUCCGGAGCAGCCGCAGGGUCCCUGGCGCGGUUGGAAGCAGGGCUGGGCUCCGAGCUCUGCUGGAUAAUGGACGUGUUUCCAUUUUUAGCUCUUCCCCUGAGAGCCCUGAUGGGAGCACGUUCAACUGCCUGGUGUUUGCAUCCAGUUCUGAGCAAGAAUGCGAGGAAAUCACUGGGAGAAUCAGUAAGGGAAGGGUUUAUGGCUUCAGCUACCACCAGUGACACCGUGGAAUAGCAGGAGUUCUGUUCUGGAUCACCACAUGCAGAAUCUGACUUAAUUCAUUUUGUUAAGGUUACUAAGAUGAAGAGAUACUUUGAUAUUUUUCUGGUGUGUGGGGGGGUUUCUAAGGACCACCAGACAAUGAUUUUAUUCUAAGAAACUAUUCUAGGCAUAGCCAGAUGCUUCAUUGUUUCCAGUAAGGACUUGCAGGAGAUACUGUUUUCAAGGGAUAUUAUUUUAAACAUACUUUUCUUGCAGGAGCUGAGACUGCUACUGCAGCUCAGCACCAAACCAAGCAUUCACAAACAAAUCCCAUUACUUGGAAUUUUUCAUUUUCAAUUGGCCUAAAUGCAAGCUGUGUGGUUCUUCCUGAAUUACAUGGGCUACCGAAGAUCCUCAGAUUUUCCAUGGGGGCAUUCCUGGCAGGCACUGGCCCUGGAAAGACCUGCCCAGGUGAUUGACCUGAGAUCGCUGAGCAUCACCUGAAGUUGUAGCUUAACUUUGUGUCUAAAUCGUGAACUUCAUUACUCUGUAUCAAAGGAAUCUUUCCCCAUACAGCUUUAGCAAGAACAGGAAAAUAUUUGCUCAAAACCCAUCAUUUCAGAGCAGGAUUUCAGCAGGAUACUGCAGCGAGCCAGGGGCUGGGUUUGCUCCUUGGAGCAGUGUAGGACAGGGAGGUGAGGAGGAGGCUGUGGAAGGUGGGUGAGGAGUGCCUGUUCCUCCAGCUGCAGGAUUUAAGCACAUGGAGUGGUUUGUCUGAGGGAGAACACGACGAGGCUCCACUGUCCCAGCAGCAGCUGUGGGCUGCAGGCCCUGACUCCCAGAAUGAGCCAGGAUGGUUUUCAUGCUCUUCCUCACCCUCGUGGUGGGAGAUCACGAACAGCCAGCACCAAUUUACCCAGGUUAGGUCAGAACUGCUGCUACUCUUCCCCCAGAACACCACCGUCCUUCCACUGGAAUAAAUCAAGCUGAGCUGGCUCAACCGCUUUCCUGUGACAACUCCAGCCUUACUCGUGUAGCCUGUUCUGGCUCCCUCCAAGCUCAGUGUCAAUUACCCGUGCUUCAGGUGCAGUCUGAGCACUUUCCUCCACCACAGCCCAGCAGGGUCUGGCAACCAAGGAACCCAGACCUGCCUUAGCCAAGCCUGAAGCAAAGGUUUGAGUAUAAAUCCUGCUCCAUCCAAAAAAGUCUGGAUGGGAAAUGAGAAUCACAUGGAGCAGGCGCCCGUCUGGCUCAGCAGCCCCUCUGCUCCCGGAGUGUACAAUCAGCUGUUGCCCUUGCACACCAUCCCCUGAGCAGAUCCGGGACUAGCACAGCCUGAUCCCAUGGGAAUGCUCCCCCCCACCCUGCCAUCCCCACUGCUUGGGAACAGCCAGGUGCUUCUGCCUCAGCCAGACCAGUCACAAUUCCAAAAUAAACUUUCCCUACAGCCACUAGAAAGGACCAAAGAACUUGGAGCAGAGAUUAGAGAAAAGUCCCCCAAAAGGCCACUGCAGCUUUGCCCACUCCUCCUGGACCCUGCAGAGCUGUAGAGCUCCACUCCCACUGGCAACAGGAAGUCAAGCUGCACAAAAUCUCCAAAAUACUCCAAAAGUUCUCCAUUCUGUCACCAGCCAAGGUUCACUUGCCAGAGCAGCAGCCCCGGCUUACAGGAAUCUGUAGGAGGAGGCAGAAGCUUCUUCAAGCUCGUUCAAACCAAAUGACAAAGACUCCUCACAUGUGAAUGUAAAACAUUUAAUUUAAAAAUGUUGACACUACAAUAUAUAAAAUAGCUAUUAUAAAUGCACAUAGUGUAUUCUAUAGCUGCCAGGUUUACGUUUUUAGGAAACUGUAAGUUACACUGUGGUUAAGACUUGUAGUUUCACCCUCUGAAGGAAGUCCACAUUUGAUCACAGUGAUGCAUGGUCAGACUAACAGCCCCAAUUGUUAAACACUUGGA